AGAAGCGACUGUUACUAAAAAAACACAGGGUCCGUGCGAAUUCGUAAGACGAUGUAUACGACUGACGCCUGCCCGGUGCUGCGAAGUUAAGAGGACCGGUAGCCAGUAAUGGCGAAGCUGAGAAUUUAAGCCCCAGUAAACGGCGGUGGUAACUAUAACCAUCCUAGGUAGCGAAAUUCCUUGUCGGGUAAGUUCCGACCUGCACGAAUGGCGUAACGACUUCUCUGCUGUCUCAACCACAGACUCGGCGAAAUUGCAUUACGAGUAAGAUGCUCGUUACGCGCGGCAGGACGAAAAGACCCGGGACCUUCACUAUAGCUUGGUAUUGUGUUCGGUUCGGUUUGUGUAGGAUAGGUGGGAGACUGUGAAGCGGGCACGCCAGUGUUCGUGGAGUCGUUGUUGAAAUACCACUCUGAUCGUAUUGGACAUCUACCUCGACCAUGAUCUGGUUCAGGGACAGUGCCUGGUGGGUAGUUAACUGGGGCGGUUGCCUCCCAAAAUGUAACGGAGGCGCCCAAAGGUUCCCUCAGCCUGGUUGGCAAUCAGGUGUCGAGUGCAAGUGCACAAGGGAGCUUGACUGUGAGACUGACAGGUCGAGCAGGGACGAAAGUCGGGACUAGUGAUCCGGCACCGGCAAGUGGAAGCGGUGUCGCUCAACGGAUAAAAGGUACCCCGGGGAAACAGGCGAUCUUCCCCAAGAGUCCAUAUCGACGGGAUGGUGUUGGCACCUCGAUGUCGGCUCGUCGCAUCCUGGGGCUGGAGAGGUCCCAAGGGUUGGGCUGUUCGCCAUUAAAGCGGCACGCGAGCUGGGUUUAGAACGUCGUGAGACAGUUCGGUCUCUAUCCGCCGCGCGCGUUAGAAACUUGAGGAAGGCUGUCCCUAGUACGAGAGGAACCGGGACGGACGAACCUCUGGUGUGCCAGUUGUUCCGCCAGGAGCACUGCUGGUUAGCUACGUUCGGAAGGGAUAACCGCUGAAAGCAUCUAAGCGGGAAGCCUGUUCCAAGAUGAGGUUUCUCACCCCCUCGAGGGGUAAGGCCCCGGCAGACCACCGGGUUGAUAGGCCAGAACUGGAAGCACAGUAAUGUGUGGAGGUGACUGGUACUAAUAGGCCGAGGACUUACCACAA
rnacentral:rRNA from 1 species